rnacentral:rRNA from 1 species
CCUACGGGAGGCUGCAGUGGGGAAUAUUGGACAAUGGGGGCAACCCUGAUCCAGCCAUGCCGCGUGUGUGAAGAAGGCCCUCGGGUUGUAAAGCACUUUCAGUGAGGAAGAACGCCUGGUGGUUAAUACCCAUCAGGAAAGACAUCACUCACAGAAGAAGCACCGGCUAACUCCGUGCCAGCAGCCGCGGUAAUACGGAGGGUGCGAGCGUUAAUCGUAAUUACUGGGCGUAAAGCGCGCGUAGGUGGCUUGAUAAGCCGGUUGUGAAAGCCCCGGGCUCAACCUGGGAACGGCAUCCGGAACUGUCAAGCUAGUGUGGAGGAGAGGAAGGUAGAAUUCCCGGUGUAGCGGUGAAAUGCGUAGAGAUCGGGAGGAAUACCAGUGGCGAAGGCGGCCUUCUGGACUGACACUGACACUGAGGUGCGAAAGCGUGGGUAGCAAACAGGAGUAGAUACACGAGUAGUC